rnacentral:rRNA from 1 species
CAGCAGCCACGGUAAUACGGAGGGAGCUAGCGUUGUUCGGAAUUACUGGGCGUAAAGCGCACGUAGGCGGCUUUGUAAGUCAGAGGUGAAAGCCUGGAGCUCAACUCCAGAACUGCCUUUGAGACUGCAUCGCUCGAAUCCGGGAGAGGUGAGUGGAAUUCCGAGUGUAGAGGUGAAAUUCGUAGAUAUUCGGAAGAACACCAGUGGCGAAGGCGGCUCACUGGACCGGUAUUGACGCUGAGGUGCGAAAGCGUGGGGAGCAAACAGGAUUAGAUACCCCUGUAGUCCCUGUCUCUUAUAC